ensembl:lncRNA
GUUUGAGAAGCUGCUGAACAGCACUGAAGACCAGCUUCAAGAACUUCAGGGUUCCAGUCAGUCCUCUUACCAGGAGCUGAUUGGUCGGCUUUACCAGGAAAUGACAGUGGAAUAUGUCCAGAGUCUCCUGAAAGGAGAGGUCAAACUGAAGGACAGCAAUCAGCAGCAGAAGGCUUACGAGACUGUGCAAGAAAAUGGAGAGAAACUGCACGAGCUGUUUGCCAGAAUGUGAAAAACAUGUUUCGGCUCUGCUCAAACUCAAGACAAACCUCUCCAAAGCCGACAGGAAAAUCGUCAAAACCACUCUGUCAGACACACUGAAAGAGAGCCGUGCUGAUCCUGGAAUCCGGAAGUUUUUCUCCAAAAUUAAAGUGAGAUGAGCCGCACAUUUGCUUCUUAGAGUAUCACUGACUGAGAGUUUGGUUGCAGAGCAGCAAUAUUAUCGUGUAUUAUAUUGUGUUACAGUCUAUCUCUGUAAAGACAUACAGAGUGAAUGCCAGGGAAAAACCUUCAGAUGCUACUUAGACUGAAAUCCCUAUUAUACGCAGACUCGGUGAUGGUGAAUGCUUGCUGUAGUUACUGUAUGUUAUUGUAUACAUAAGCUAGAUUUUACAUUCAUGCUGGCAAUUUUUGUGCAUUUCAUAGAAACUGUGAAUAAGUAUGCAAGAGUCUGUUUUUACACACUUACAAACAGGUCAGUGCCGUUCUAUUAUAUGUCGUUUUGUUUAAAAACUACAAUGAUAUUAAAGUCUAGUUUUUUCAUAAGUUGUAUUUUAUGCUAUAUUGUAUUACAGAGAAUUAUACAUGUCUCAUGUACAUAAAAAGAUGUAAGUUGAGUUUUUUUUAAUAAAUGUGCAAAAACCAGCUCAA